AUUGGAGAAGGAGGCCGGCCAAUACCUGAGCACAUUUAUGAAGAUAUCGUCAAUUUGGUAACUCCGAUUCUUAUAAAAAAAAAUUGUUUAUUUUUAACUUAUUUUUUUAGAAGUGUGCAAAUUUUUAGUUAAGAUCAACAGUUUAUUCAUUAGUUAUUGAUGUUUAAAUCUAUUGUGGGAAUUAUUAGGAUUUGGUUAGGAUUUGGUUCAGGGUUUAGGGUUUGGAUUAGGGUUUGAUUUAGGGUUUGGUUUAGGAUUUGGAUUAGGAUUUGAUUUAGGAUUUGGUUUAGGAUUUAGGAUUUGGAUAGGGUUUGGUUUAGGGUUUAGAAUUUAGCUUAAGAUUUGGUUUAGAAUUUAGGAUUUGGAUUGGAAUUUGGUUAGGGAUUAAGAUUUGAUUAAGAUUUGGUUUAGGGUUUAAGAUUUGAUUAGAGUUUGGUUAGGGAUUAAUAUUUGAUUAGGUUUUGAUUUAGGAUUUAGGAUUUGGUUUAGGGUUUAGGAUUUGGAUUAGGGUUUGGUUUAGGAUUUAGGAUUUGGAUAGGAUUUGGUUUUGGGUUUAGGAUUUGGAUUAGGAUUUGAUUUAGGAUUUAGGAUUUGGAUUAGGAUUUGGUUUAGGAUUUAGGAUUUGGAUUAGGAUUUGAUUAGGGAUUAAGGUUUGAUUAGGAUUUGAUUUAAGAUUUAGGAUUUGUCUAGGGUUGGAUUAGGAUUAGGAUUUGGUUAGAAUUUAAGGUUCUAUUAGAUUUUUGUUAGGAUUUGACUAAGUUUUCUUUAAUAUUCUUUUAUAUUUCUUUAGGAUUUUUUUGUGUUUCUUUUAUAACUUCAAUAAAAUUUAAUUGAGCUUGCUUAAUGUUUGAUUAUGAUUAUUAACGUUUAAUUAUAAAUUCUUUAUAAU
rnacentral:lncRNA from 1 species